AUGGGACUCAGGAGACAGGAGGCAGGGGGAGGCCUGGGGGGUGGGGGCGGCCGCCGGGCAUCUGGGCCUCUCCCUCCCCUGGCACCACCGCACCCCGCACCCCUCCCACACACACCCUCGCCGGAAAGUUCCCCAGCCCAGGCCGGGCUCCCAGGCAGCUUGGCACCGUGCCAGGCUCGCCGCCGAGCGCGGGCAGCCGGGUGGGGCGAGCGGCGGCGGCACCGAGGACAUGGCCGGGCGCCCUGGGCGCGAGCAGGACCCAAGGCCGGGAGGCCGGGGCCCAGAAGAAGGCGGCUGGUCCCAGAGCACCUCGGAGAAAGCAGACACCCGUCUUGGCCUUUGGAAGACGCUCAAGGACCACGUGGCCGGGUCCACGGUCUCUGCCCUGCGCCUCGAGGGCGAGGCAGCCCAGGUCUUGCCCUUCUUGCCGGCCACUUCGCCCCCAUCCGACGCCUGGAGCUUGAGGUGACUGAGCGCUCUCAGGCCAGCUCGGCCCUGGACCUGCUCGGCUCUGGACCUGCCCAUCUCCGUCAACGCACGAGGCCCCCGUGCCCCAGGUGCGUGAGUAGCCUUUCCCCUGACUCAGGGGCCCCGCUGCUGGCCGCCACCAGCACCAGUGCAUGGCGCUGCCCCAGCCGGUCUGCCCGUCUUUAGAGCGGGACUGGUUUCCAUCCUGGAUUUUCUCCGCGAAGGCUGGGAGGGGUGGCCGGUGGCUGGACCCAGCGCCCCAGGGGGUGCUGCUGGUCUCUGCCUGGCCUCUGAGCUUCUGCUGGGGCACCGGAACCUGGACCUUCCGUCCAGAGGAGGUGGGGACAUGACCCAGGCAGGCAGGACAGGAGCCCUGAGGCUGGAGAAGUGGCUGGUGCUGGUGUGGCUGACCUGGCGCCGUCAGGCAAGGGCCUCGGUUGCAGCCACGUGUCCUGGAGUGGGGCUCCCCCCUGCUCCGUGUCCCUUGCUGCCUGCCCUGUCCCCUCACCCGGGGCAGGAAGGAGGGGCCGGCCUGGACCACGGGGUCAGCUGGGCUGGCUGUUCCCGCAUCCCUGGUCUGAGGAGCCCCGAAGCCCCGCCGCCUCCUUCAAGAUGGGAGGGCAUCAGGGCUGCGGCUCUGGGACAACAGGAGGAAGGUUCUGGAGAGGACGCUGCCCACGUCCCUGGCCCAGGCCUCCAGGCCCUGGUGCCGUGGUGGGCGUGCUUCCGAAGCCGGCGUCACCCUCCUCCUUCCUGAUCCUCCUGCUGCUGCUGCUGCUGCUCCCGGCCCUCCCGCCUCCGGCCUCCGGCCUCCAUCCUCCCCGCCUCCGUCCUCCCCGCCCUCCGGCCCCCAUCCGCCCUGCCCUCCUCGUCCGCCCUCUGUGGCCUCCCCUCGGCCCGUCUUGGUCCUCCCGCCCCCGUCCUCCCGGCUCUCCUCGUCCGCCCUCCUCGUCCUCCCGUCCUCCCGCCCCCACCCUCCCCGUUCUUCCGCCCCCAUCCU
rnacentral:lncRNA from 1 species